GAGGGGCGCCGUCAGGUCCAAUAGGCGGCCGAAGGCGUGGUCUCCGUCUCCCCAUGCGCGCCUGCACCCGUUUUCCAACGGCGGGGCAGACGGUCGCCGGGGCCGGUUCGGAAAUUUCAACGGGGGGACUUACGACUCCAGUUCAAAGACGGUGCUUAAUUAAGUCCGCCUACUCGGUGAUAGACGCGUGGAAAAAAAAUUAUAUAAAAAUAAACAGAUAGCGACACAACAAAGAGAGCCUGAUGUACUCUAAUAAAAUGGUGUCCCAUCUCAUCGAUCAAACAGAUCUUAACACGGAUGGGACAGGGUUGAAAAUAAAACAGGAGAACUACAUACAGUCUUCUGAAGACCAGAUCGAUUAUGAGGUCAAAGAGCUGCCUGAGUCCAAAGGUCAUUUGGUAUACACGGAAGAGCUCCUCGGAUCCUUGGCGACUCCUAGUAGCGGGGUGUCGACGACUACUGCCACAUUCACUACAUCCAAGGAGCAAAGUGAUGCUGAUUGUUCGAGUUCUACUGCGACCAGCAGCACUCCGGCCACAAAGCCUCCAUACUCGUACGUCGCCCUCAUAGCCAUGGCGAUCGAAAGCAUGCCAAAGAAGCGUGCCGCCCUCUCCGAGAUCUACCAUUUCAUAACGACCACCUUCCCGUUCUUCCAGAAGAACAAAAAAGGCUGGCAGAACUCAAUCCGGCACAACCUCAGCCUCAACGACUGUUUCGUCAAAGUGCCAAGGGAGAGUGGGAGCGAAAAGAAGGGCAACUACUGGAUCAUCAACCCCCUUUGUAGGAACAUGUUCGAAAACGGUAAUUUUAAAAGGAGGAGGAAAAUGAAAAGGCCAUAUGUUCCGGGGAAACUACUACACGACAACACGUAUCUUCCAAGGAGCCUGCUUCACUCGACAUACCCAUACCCGCCAAGCUGCAGCACGUGGAACAUGAACACAAACCAGCUGCACUAUCCUCCUUGUACGCAGACGGGCAUACCGAGGACUCAGCAGACCUACAGUACGAACCUCCAACCCCAGUAUUCGGCCCUUCAGCCUCAGACUAUGCAGAUACCUAUGAACGGUUACAACCAGCUAGCACCCAUGGAUCUCGGAUCUACAUCGUCGAGCUCAUUUUCGAACUACAGCAACAGCUGCAGCUUCAGGAAAUACGAUUCGAUAGACCCGACCCUACGCUAUCCAUACUGGACACAGCCUGCUGAAAUCAAAGAAGAAGGACUUUUGACGACGUCGUCGAGUGUCAACUUCAACUCUUCCUUGGACUUCAGUCUUACGACAAGCCGGCCCAAGUGCUACAUGUGAAAUAAAAGAGUAGGAGCUCGAACUUCAGGAGGAAUGAACUUACCGUGUACCUCAAAUACGUAAUUCAGGAGGAAAGGAAGUAACAAAUGCUUAAACCAGGGAAAAACAAUCAGAGACAUUUUUGGAUGGGGCUUAACUUUUAAGGACGAUCUCUCCCUCAACAACCAAGACCAAUCAACCAAACCCAGCGCCUCCUAAUUAUUUAAAUUAUUUAUUCUCGGGGCCUUAAAACCGCCCUAUUUUUGUGAUUGACUACUUCUCCUUUUUCUAAUUAUGAUUGUAAUAAUUAUUCUAUUUUGUAAACACUUAGCUAUUUUGAUUUUGUAUUAUAAUUAUUAUUAUUGAUAUU
rnacentral:misc_RNA from 1 species